rnacentral:rRNA from 1 species
UGGGGAAUAUUGCACAAUGGGGGAAACCCUGAUGCAGCAACGCCGCGUGAGUGAUGACGGCCUUCGGGUUGUAAAGCUCUGUCUUCAGGGACGAUAAUGACGGUACCUGAGGAGGAAGCCACGGCUAACUACGUGCCAGCAGCCGCGGUAAUACGUAGGUGGCGAGCGUUGUCCGGAUUUACUGGGCGUAAAGGGAGCGUAGGCGGACUUUUAAGUGAGAUGUGAAAUACUCGGGCUCAACUUGAGUGCUGCAUUUCAAACUGGAAGUCUAGAGUGCAGGAGAGGAGAAUGGAAUUCCUAGUG